rnacentral:lncRNA from 1 species
CGAGAUCCAACACGGCGAUUAGGGCUCGGUUCCUCAACUUUGACGCAAAGAGGGAGCCGCGGGGUUGACCUAGGACGUUAUAUGGGUCUCGGUUUGCGCGUUUGGGAAGGAAAUCCCGAGAACUCGGGCCUCGGUUCGAUCCGGCCGAGUCCGUCUCACCCACGACGCUGGGAAGAAGAUGGGAGGGGGCGAGACACUGCCGGGUGGGGUCGGUUGUCAGCGACUGAGAGAGAAGGGGGAGGCGCUGCGCUGCGGGGCCGGCUCGUCAGCGAGCCAAGGCAGAGGGGCGCGCCCGCCAGGCCACGCGCGGGCUGGGCCGAGGAAAGGGAGUGGGCCGGGGCGAGGGGGAGGGGAGAAGAAAGAGCAGGCCGGGGGGAGUGAGGGGAGCUGGGCCUCGGCCUGGAUCCCAGGGGCUUUCUCUUUUUUUUUUUCUAAUUUCUUUUCUGUUUUGUUUUAUUUUUUUUCAAAGCCUUUUCAGAAAGGAUUUUGAGGACAAUUAAAUACAAACCAAAUACAAUCAACACAAAAUAAAAUAUGUCUCAGCAUGAAUGCACAAAAUCAUGUUACUAAGCUUAUGAUAAAUUUUAAUUUCCACAAAAAUUAUUUAUUUGCUACAUUAAAUGCUCACUAAAAUUCUUAAAUAAUUCAAAUUAAAUCCUAUUAAUUAAAAUUCAAAAUUUUGGGUGUUACAAACUCUACCCCCUUAAAAAAAUCUCGUCCUCGAGAUUGAGCAGUGUAUAAACAAACCACUUGUGGAUUUGAUUCUCUCCAAUCCUCUUCUCUUUCCCAAGUUGUUUCUCCUUGUGAAAACCAGUCCCAUUGCACUAGCAAAUUCAUGUCUCUAGUCGAGUAACAUACCUGGUAACUUAUUUGAAAAUUUAUUCCCUACACAGUCCUCAAGAUCAACACCAUCAUCCAGCUGAUUCACUGUAGCUGUGGGUGGAGCCUGCACUGCUACAUCCACACUGAUUCUCUCUCCCUUGGGUGUUGUCACAACUACUACUUUCUCUUUGCACUUAAUUUCCGUAGCAUAUUUCUUCAUCCAAUCCAAACCCAAUAUCACAUCUAUGCCUGAGGUUCUCAUAACCAUGGGACUAACAGGGAAAUCUACCCCCCUUAAAGAAAGACUUGCUGAGGGGCAACAAUAUGAAACUGGUAUAGUCCCCCCUGGUGAGUUUACUAGCAUAUGGGUUUUCAAGGCAACUAGUGGUAUGCUGUGAACUCUAACAAAUGCUUGUGAUAUGAAUGUAUGUGAAGCUCCAGAAUCCAAUAAAACUUUAGCGGAAAUAGAGUUGAUACUGAACGUACCCAUCAUAAUCUCCGGUCCCUCUUGUACUGUCUCUGCAGCCACAUGGUUCACCUUUGCUCCAUGAGAAUUAAACUUUUGAUUGUUGUUCUGCUGGUUGAAUCUCUCCGGGCAAUCAUAUGACAUAUGACCUUCUUUCCCACAGCGAAAACACCUAGUAGGGGUAUUGGAAGCACUUCUCUUCAUAGAGGUGGCAUUUGAAUUUCCCGAGCGAGAAGUCUGUUGUCCACUCUGUUGUUGAUUAGGAUUACGCUGAGAUUGUUGGUUACGAUCCCCUUGACUAACUGGUCCAUGGUACCUCUGUUGACCGCCCUGCUGCAAAUUGAAACGUUGGCGUUGUUGCCUCCAGAACCUUGGGCUAACAUUCUUCUCUUCUUAUCUUGACCUUUACGCAUGUUAUCCAACACAAUAGCACGGUUUACCAGAGCCUGGAAGGUAGGAUAUGUGUUUCCAGCCAACUGCAACCUAAGUUCAUAGUAAAGACCUUUCAUGAAGAGACGUUGUUUGUCAGCGUCUUCUCUAACUUCGUUUGGAGCAUAGCGAGCCAACUGCUCAAACAUGUCAUGAUACUCCGCCACAGACAUAGAACCCAUCCUGAGAGAUCUGAAUUCUUCCUGCUUGAGCUCCAUCAUUCCUUCAUUGAUAUAUCGUGCUCUAAAGUCUCUGCAAAAUUCCAACCAAGUGACAGGAGGAGCAUUGUUGGGACGAGCAGCUUGAUAUGACUCCCACCAUGUUUGAGCUGCACCUUGAAGUUGUCCAGAAGCAUACAACACUUUCUCCAUAUCAUUGCACUGGGCUAUGUUCAGUUGUCUCUCUAUAGCACGAAGCCAAUCAUCUGCCUCCAUAGGAUCAGCUGAAUGUGUAAACACCAGGGGUCUUCCCUUCAUAAACUCGCCACGCUUAUCUCUCACAUGAACAGGUGGUGGUGUUGGUGGAGGUUGAUGCUGUAAGUGCUGCAUGAAGACGUGCAUCAUCUCAUUUUGGGUUUGCAUGAGUUCCUCCACAGUGAUUGGGCCAUUGCCACCAUUGCCAUUGCCACGGCCUCUACCUCUGCCUCUUCCCCUUGCUGCCAUCUGCAUUCCAAGGUAUAUAAACACAUCUUAGUAAUGUCCAACAUGACAAUUACAAGAGUUAACGGAAUCUGAAAUUUUCUGGGUGACAUCCAACAUUAGCAGAUCAUAAAAUCAGUCAUAUCUCGAGUUCCAGCAUUCAAAAGGAUACAUGCUGUACACCGUUGGAAAGAUAAAGAAAUUGUCUACAACUUUCAUUUAGAUCAUAUUACCAGAUUCCAACGUGAGGUUAAGCAAAAAACUGGGUACAACCGAAACUGUUCCAGAAUUCCAUACUGCGCAGAAACCUCAAUUUGAAUCAGUCAUAACUCUAAGCUCAUAAUCGAUAAUAUGGUCAUUCUUGCGGCAUUGGAAAGAUAUGGAAGUCUACUUGUUCCCAGAAAAAUUUGAUGGACAUUGCAUGAACAGAUUUUGAGAUGUACCAGAUUCUUUGCAGACUGCUCCAGAAAACAGCAAAGGACAGAAACAGAAUUUUACCCAAACCCAACUAUUUAGUUCAUUAAUCCUUAUAUCUUAGGCCUAUAAACUAAAUGAAAUUGUAGAGAAAGUCCAUAAGAUCAUUACAGUCAUUACAAAAAUCCAAAUCAAGCAUAAGCAUAAUAACAAACCAAACCAAGCAUCAAAAGUUCACACUUCAAGCAUUGACUCAACUUGCGGUACUAACGUUCUCUCCCUAUUAAAGGUGAAGAUCCUAUAACUCCUAUUUCAAUGACGCCAGAAGGUGGUAAGAAAGGUUCUAAAAGCAUAUUCAAAGCAAAGAGUGGGGAUGACAACAAGUCUUUAAAAUAAGCAACAAGGUGAAGAUGAAUAGGAUAUAGUGUAGAAGAAAAUAUCAAGGCUUAUAGAACAAGGAUUUUAUAGCAAUUUCAAAUUCUUAAGACGGCCAAUUUCUAACUAGGCUUGCAUCCGACAGUCAACAAAGCUUUGAUACCAAUUUGUCACACCCAUAUUUUAAAAAACAAAAUAGGAUGCAUAAAAGACUCAUAUGUGCCCCAGAAACAGUCGCACACAUAAGUAGACAAAUCUCAAAUGUACCAUUGCUGUGUUUAUUACAUAGCGGAACAUAGUAAAUCACAUAGUCUCAUACAAAAAUGAUAGCAUAAAGUAAUCAACGCUCUCGACGGAAGCUCCACACAGGGACACUGUUGACUGGUUGACUCCAAACCUAGUACUCAUAACGAUAAUCCUCAUUCCAGUCGUCUUCAUUAUCAUAUCCUGAGGUGUUGGGAAAUUGCAAGAGUGAGCACAUAUCGUACUCAACAAGUAUAACCAGGGGUUCAUGAGGCUCAAUUAGUUGACACGGGUUUGACUGCAUUUAGCUUUUAAUAGUGGAUAGCAUAUUCAUAAUUAAAUAGUAAUUGUCAAGGUAGCAUAAAUAAUCCAUUAAUCCCAUGAUCAAGUGUAAGCAUAAUUAAUCCAUAGCAUAAACGAUAAUCAAAUGAACAUAACAACUUAAUAAGCUCAUCGUCGGCGCAGCAAGAACCCCCAAGGCCGCUCAUAACCGUGAGCACGGCUAGUAUACCAGUUUUUAACACUCUGCAGAGGUUGUACAUCUUUACCCAUGAGUCACGAUUUACCCUUUCGCCCAAGGUGAUCAGCCUCUUAACCCACUUUCAAGGAAGGUCGGCAGGGAUCACUAUGAAGCCUUUCAAAAGUUCGUCUAACAAGUUAGGGCCGCAAGGUUUCCUUUGCGCGCAGAUAUAGAGCCCCCCUUCCGAUGGCACAAUGACUCGCAGCCUAUACUCAUACAGACAGAGGCCACACUAUACCCAAAACGGUUCAGCCCCUCCGCCCUUUCGGGUAACCUCUAACAAGCUAGAAAAGUGCUUCAUACUGAGCUAAAGCCAGAGUCAUUAUAGCCCUCAUGGUUGCACUGUUGUCCCGGUGAUCACUUACAGACAAGAUCUCAUACAGUUAUUUGUCAUUCUUUUAUGUUCAUUGCAUAGCUAUUAAUCAUCUUACAAGAUCAUGGAUUAUAUCAAGCACUAGCACAUCUACAACAAAUGCAUAUCAAGUAGGUAGCAAGGAAUCCAGGUAACAAUCAUCUAUGAUUUUGCUAAGGUCGACAAGGUGAUAGCAUGCAUAUGAUAUAUAUGUAGUUAAUAGUGAAUAGGUAACAAGGAUGAUCCCAAGUUAUACUUGCCUUGAUCAAAGCUCUCCUGAGCCUGCUGCUGGCCUUCGAAAGAUUGACCUUGAUCACCGACGUAUCGCUCACCGUCUAAUCCCAAUCAUCAAUCAACAACACACAAUCCAAUGUAGACAAUCAUACACGAAGCAAACAAGAUAUAAUUAGAACAAUACAACAAACAGUGGUAAAACAAAUAUAAAAGUUUAUGAAAAUAUUCUACGCAGCGCUACGAUCACACGAACGUAAAUUUCACGAAAAUCGGAAUUAAAACGAGAAAGAUAUGAAUUUUCUAAGAUUUCCUAUAGAGAAAUAAUUAAUUAAUUAAUACCAGGAAAUUAAAAAGUUUCAAAACAGAGGAAUAAUACUUCUAUCAUGUAGAUCUCGUAAAUACGAAUCUAACGAAAUUUGAAUGGACAAAAACGGAGUUAAAAUGAGUAUUUUAUGACCAAAAUACUUCCAGUGGUAAUCUUGUAAUUUGCUGAAAGCGUAUUUGAAAUAUACCAGGGUGAAAUACGUUUUCUAAAGCUGUUGACGUAUUCCACUGUGCCGCUUUGGACUGCGGGUUGAGCGCUGGAUCUUCCAGGGGCUCUUUAGCAAAAGUACAUAGCUGAAGGGGUAUCGUUGCUUUAGGGCCGCUGAUCGCGAGAUGAACGGCUAGGAAUAGAUCGGGGCCGGGGAAAAAGAUGGCGCCGGCCGGAACAGUGACUAGCGCGGCAGUCCUCCAUUGCCGGCGCUAGAAGCCCGCCGGAGACCAUGGGAAACGCGCUAGAGUGCAUCAAACUCAAAACCGAAGGCACGGGGAGCAAGAGAGAGUUAGCGCGAGCUCACCUAGGGCAAGAUCAAAACUCGGGAAAGGCUCGGAGGUGACCGGCGACUCGGGAUGGCGGAUCGGUGCUCCUCGGAACUUCGGCGUCGUUCAACGAAUCACUGGGAGCACAAGAAAAUGUAAGAACAAGUCCGACGGCUCUGCAAGGGCAUCACAAAGCUCGGCAUGGAGCUUACAACAACCAGAGAGCAACGGAACUCGGUUAUGGCGGUGGCGGCUUCGUUUCCGUUUCGGCGAGAUCCAACACGGCGAUUAGGGCUCGGUUCCUCAACUUUGACGCAAAGAGGGAGCCGCGGGGUUGACCUAGGACGUUAUAUGGGUCUCGGUUUGCGCGUUUGGGAAGGAAAUCCCGAGAACUCGGGCCUCGGUUCGAUCCGGCCGAGUCCGUCUCACCCACGACGCUGGGAAGAAGAUGGGAGGGGGCGAGACACUGCCGGGUGGGGUCGGUUGUCAGCGACUGAGAGAGAAGGGGGAGGCGCUGCGCUGCGGGGCCGGCUCGUCAGCGAGCCAAGGCAGAGGGGCGCGCCCGCCAGGCCACGCGCGGGCUGGGCCGAGGAAAGGGAGUGGGCCGGGGCGAGGGGGAGGGGAGAAGAAAGAGCAGGCCGGGGGGAGUGAGGGGAGCUGGGCCUCGGCCUGGAUCCCAGGGGCUUUCUCUUUUUUUUUCUAAUUUCUUUUCUGUUUUGUUUUAUUUUUUUUCAAAGCCUUUUCAGAAAGGAUUUUGAGGACAAUUAAAUACAAACCAAAUACAAUCAACACAAAAUAAAAUAUGUCUCAGCAUGAAUGCACAAAAUCAUGUUACUAAGCUUAUGAUAAAUUUUAAUUUCCACAAAAAUUAUUUAUUUGCUAAAUUAAAUGCUCACUAAAAUUCUUAAAUAAUUCAAAUUAAAUCC